UACGCUGCUAUACUCUAGGUUAAUUAAAUUAUGCAUAUGGAUUUAAUGCCUCACUCAUUAUAAGUGGCAGAAUGAAUAUUUACACUGGGAAAUUAAGCAGUAGCAAUUAAAACAGGCAUAUACUGUAAGUACUUUUGCAUUUGUCAAUUGUUCCGCAAAACAUUAGCACAUAUUAAGUUCAUUGCUACUCCCCCAUGUCUACAGUACAUUUAUAACUUGCACAUUUGUUAAACACAAACUUAUUAUCUUUUAAAAUAAAUUAAUUGACUGUGCACAAUCACUUGCACAUUUGAAAGGUACCUUACUUCCAGAUUGUGCUAAUGAAACUGGAAAAAAAUUGUGAAAGCAGACUAUUCAUCAUAGUGAAGUAAAAUUUCCAUCCUCCACUUAGGGCCUUCUGGAUCCCAUUCCCAAAUCACAGAGAUGAAGUAAUUAGAAUAGAGGUCUGGGUUUUCCUGGAAAAUAUCAGCAGUAUAAGUGUAAGAUAUUGUGAACUUCCUGUUCAGCAUUUCCUUUGGUUUUGUUGACAAUGCUCUAUUAGUGAACCUGCCCCAACAUGCUACCAUUUAAUUUGACGUGUCUGCUUUCAGACAUCUCUGGCAAAUGUAGACUCUGGAAAAAAGUUGCAGACCUCAGAGCAAGAUUGCAGUACCAGAGGGACAUUAGGGACUGUACUUUGCUUCACGGAAACAUGGUUAACCUUUGCCGUUUUGGGCACAGUGCUCCACAAAGACCUGUUAGUUCUGUCUUUUAAUGGUAGGAGAGUGGAGUAGGCUUUGUGGUUAAUUCAUUGUGGUGUAUAUAUGUGAUGGCUCUGUCUCAAUCCUGCUCAUCCAGUCUGGAGUAUCUAGCAGUCAAGUGCCGUCUGUUUUAUCUGCCAAGGGAACUUUCCACCACAUCCUGGUAGCAGUGUACAUUCCACCUCAGGCCAAUAUCAGGCAGGCACUGGAGGAGCUGAGACCGUGAUUAUCAGUCACGGAACAGCACACCCAGAUGCCUUCCUUAUCAUUGUGGGGGUUUUCAACCAGGCCAGCUUUAAGAAGUCUCUGAACAGCUACCACCAACAUAUCAUCUGUGGAACGAGAGGAGCCAACACACUUGACCACUAUUAUAUCACCAUCAAGAACACUUACCAUGCCAUUCCAUGCCCGCACUUUGGAAAGUCCGAAUACCUGGCUGUACUUUUGCUCCUAGUGUAUAGGCAGAGACAAAAGACUGCAGCACCAGUGGUGAGGACCAAGGAGGUAUGAUCAAGGAAGGCAGAGGAGUUCUUGCAGGGCUAGAUUGAGGCAGUGGACUGGAUGAUAUGCAGGGAUUCAUCCUCAGAUCUGAAUGAAUACACCACAGUUGUCACCAACUUCUGUGGAUGACUGUUUGCCUCCAAGAACGUACUGGACAUACCCAAAUCAAAAGCCAUGGAUAAACUAGGAAAUCCGUAGUCUGCUGAGGGCUGGUCCAUGGCAUUCAAGACCAGUGAUCCAAAACUAUACCAGAAGUCCAGUUACGAUCUACAGAAGGCUACUUUAAAAGUGAAAACAAUUCUCAUUGAAUUUAGUGAUGGAAUCAGAUGCGCAGCAGUUCUGGCACGGUUUGCAGGCCGUUACUUCCUGCAAGGCAAAACCUAACAUUUCGAACGUCUGUGAUGCUUCACUCCCAGAUGAGCUCAACACCUUCUAUGUCUGCUUUAAAAGGGAAAAUAAAACUACACCUGUGCAAAUCCCCGCAGCAUCUGGUGACCCUGUGAUCUCUGUCUCGGAUGCUGAUGUCAGAACAUGAGAGUGAACCCUCACAAAGUGACAGGCCCUGAUGGUAUACCUGGUAAGGCACUGAAAAGCUGUACCUAUCACCUGGCUGCAGUACUCAAUCUCUCACUUCUAUAGGUGGAGGUCCCCACCUGCUUCAAAGGGGCGGCAAUCAUACCAGUGCCCAAGAAGAGCUGGGAGAGCUGCCUCAACGAUUAUCACCCAGUGGCACUCACAUCUACUGUGUUGAAGUGCUUUGAGAGGUUGGUCAAAAGUCCUGCCUUAGCAAAGACGUGGAUGUGCUAUAAUUUGUCUAUUGCCACAAUAUGUCUACAGCGGACACUAUCUAACUGGCUCUCCACUUGGCCUGGGAUCACAUGGACUAUAGUAAAACCUACAUCAGGCUGCCAUUUACUGAUCCCAGCUCUAAGUUCAACAACAUCAUACACUCAGUAUUACUGAACAAGUUCCAAAACCUGGGCCUCCAUACCUCCCUCUGCAAACUGGAUUCCUGAUGUCCUCAUUGGUAGACCACAGUCAAUGCAGAUUGGAAAUAACAUCUCCCCACUGACAAUCAACACUGACACACCUCAAGGAUGCACGCUUGGCCCACUGCUCUACUCUCCCUACACCCAUUACUGUGCGGCCAGGCACAGCUCAGACACCAUCUAUAAAUUUGCUGAUGACUCUACUAUUGGUGCCAGCAUUUCAAAUGGUGACAUUUCAGCUGGUUAAGUGGUGUUGAAACAACAACCUUGCACUUAAUGUCAGUAAGACCAAGGAAUUGAUUGUGGACUUCAGGAAAGGUAAGUUGAAGGAACACACAUCAGUUGUCAUCAAAGGAUCGGAAGUGAGCAGUGAGCAGUUUCAAGUUCCUGGCUGUCAACGUCUCUAAGGAUCUAACUUGGGUCCAACAGUUAUAAAGAAGACAUGUCAGUGGUUAUAUUUCAUUAGGAGUUUGAGGAGACUGGGUACAUCAACAAAGACUCUCGCAAAUUUUGAUAGAUGCACGUGGAGAGCAUUCUAACUGGUUGCAUCACUAUCUGGUAUUGAGGGGUCACUGCACAGGAUCGGAAAGAGCUGCAGAAAAUUACAAACUCAGCCAGCUCCACCACGGGCAAUAGCCUACCCAGCACCGAGGACAUCUUCAAAAGGCAAUGCCUCAAAAAGGCAGCAUCCAUCAUUAAGGAUCCCCAUUGCCAAAGAUAUUCCCUCUUCACAUUGCUACCAACAAGGAGGAGGUACAGGAGCCUGAAGACACACACUCAAAGUUUUAAGAACAGCUGCUUUCUUUCUGCCAUCAGAUUUCUGACCUCUACCUCACUUUUUUUUCUUAUUUUGUUUUCAAAGUUCAAAAGUUUGAAGUAAAUUUUAUUAUCAAACUGUAUAUAUGUUAUCACAUUCAAUCCUGUGAUCUGUUUUCCUGUGGGCAUACUCAAUAAAUCUAUAGGAUAGUAGCUAUAACAGGAUCAAUGGAAGAUCAACCAGAGUGCAGAAGACAACAAACUGUGCAAAUGCAAAUAUAAAAAAAAGCAAUAAAUAAUGAGACCAAGAGAUAAAGAGUCCUUAAAGUGAGAUCACUGGUUGUGUUCAAAACCCUGAUGGUUGACGGGUAGUAAUUGUUCUUGAUCCUGGUGUGGCAAAUCCUGAGGCUCUUGUACCUUCUACGUGAUGGCAGCAGCAAGAUGAGAGUAUGACCUGGGUGGUGGGGAUCUCUGAUGAUGGAUGCUGCUUUCCCACAACGACUUUGCAUGCUCAACGGUUGAGAGGGCUUUACCCAUGAUGUACUGGCCUGAACCCACUACCUUUUGUAGGAUUUUUCACUCAAAGGCAUUGGUGUUUCCAUACCAGGCUGUGAUGCAAGCAGGCAAUACACACUCCACUGCACAUCAAUAGAAGUCAUACUGAGUCUCCACAGAUUCCUAAGGAAGUAGAGGCGCUGCCAUGCUUUAUUCGCAAUUGCACUUACGUAUUGGGUCCAGGACAGGUCCUCUGAAAUAAUAAUAAUAAUAAUCUGCCAACCCUCUCCACCUCUGAUCCUCCAAUGAGGACUGGUCAUGGACCUCUGGUUUCCUCCUGAAGACUAUAAACAGUUCCCUGGCCUUGCUGACAUUGAAUGAGAGGUUCUGUUCUGUCACCAUUCUGCUGAAUCUUCAAUAUCCCUCCUGCAUGUAUAAUUAUUGGAAAGGUGCAGAAAGGAGCAACAGCAACCCAAUGGCUUGGCCUCUACAGCCGCCUGUGGCAACAAAUGUCCACAGAGAGGGUCUUUAGUCUUCUGUAUCUCUUCAUUCCCGUGACCAGUGUUCACUUGUUACAGCCUCUCAGCUGAGUACAAUCUCUCCGGAAGCUACAGAUGAAUGACUGCAUGGCAAUGUGAAAUAUGAUCAAAUGCUACACAUUUAUCAGCCCUGUAUCUCUGGGUGGAAGUUGGAGGCAAAGUUGACGAAGUCGAUGGGGAAGCAGCACCGAUGCAGCGAAGGAAAAGCGGUGGGCCGACAGGUUAUAACCCCAUCUGGCCUUUUUUAAAAAAAGUUUCUGCAGAAGCCGUUUCGGCUGAAAAACGCAGCACGGACUUUCCAACGGCUGGGGGGGUGGGGGCUCUGAUUUAUAAGAGAUUGAUUUUGUUUUCUGUGUGCCUGGGUGGCAUACCUGUCGCCAGGGUGUUCAACUCCGCACGCUGCUUAAGCCAACACGGGCUGAUGAUUAUCUCCGCUGACUGCCAGCUUGGAGUGGGUUUGCUCAUCUCCGCUGAAGGUGCGAGACCCCUCCUGUCAAAAGUAUCCGUCAUUAUGGGUCUAUCCCGUAAGCGGUACUGCAAGUUUUCGAUGUUCCAGGGUUGAGUGAAGAGCUAAUGACAUGGCAUCUGCUGUGGACCUGUUGUGCCAGUAAGCAAAUUUGAGCGGAUCUGCGUCGUUUCUCAGGGAGGAGUUGAUAUGUUUCAUCACCAGCCUCUCAAAACACUUCAACACUGCAUGAAGCAAGGGAAGAAACUUCUGUGAUCCUGGCAGAAAUUUGCCUACCUACCCUAGACAUGGGUGAGGAAGCAGAAGACUGGUGGGUGGCUAACGUUCUGCCUUUAUUUAAGGAGGGCCGCAAGGAUCAGCCAGGGAGCUACAGGCUGGUGAGCAGAA